rnacentral:rRNA from 1 species
AUUGAACGCUGGCGGAAUGCUUUACACAUGCAAGUCGAACGGCAGCACGGACUUCGGUCUGGUGGCGAGUGGCGAACGGGUGAGUAAUACAUCGGAACGUGCCCAGUCGUGGGGGAUAACGUAGCGAAAGCUACGCUAAUACCGCAUACGAUCUACGGAUGAAAGCGGGGGAUCGCAAGACCUCGCGCGAUUGGAGGGGCCGAUGGCAGAUUAGGUAGUUGGUGGGGUAAAGGCUCACCAAGCCGACGAUCUGUAGCUGGUCUGAGAGGACGACCAGCCACACUGGGACUGAGACACGGCCCAGACUCCUACGGGAGGCAGCAGUGGGGAAUUGUGGACAAUGGGCGCAAGCCUGAUCCAGCCACUCCGCGUGCAGGAUGAAGGCCCUCGGGUUGUAAACUGCUUUUGUACGGAACGAAAAGGCUCUGGUUAAUACCCGGGGCUCAUGACGGUACCGUAAGAAUAAGCACCGGCUAACUACGUGCCAGCCGCCGCAGUAA